rnacentral:lncRNA from 1 species
CUUGGUUGUUGUCUAUUGAUGUUGCUGUUGGGUUCCAUGGAAACAGGUUCUAAGAUGGAAAUUUAUGUGCAGUAACAACUUGGAAGGAGUGAAGGAAGCAGGACUGGACAGAAGGUGAACUGCUAACCCCACAGGGACUCUGGACCUGGAUGGAUCAUCAGAGCGUCUUGGACUGAGGCAAGGUGGCUGGGCCUCUGUGCCCCUGCUUCCAUCAGGAGGAAGAACCUUUUCCAGUAGUAUACCAGUCUACACUCUAUCAUGGAGAGGUCCUCAGGCAAGAUUUGGAAGCUGCCCCAAAUUGCAGAAGCCAUCAUUCUCCUGGAAGUAGGGGGCGAAGUCAGGGCUUCUGCCGACCUCGAGUUUUGCGGUGGCCUCUGCAGGGGAGGGUGGGUCUCCUUGCUGCUGGCAGCUACGACCAUUCACAGCGCUUUCCAGCUACUCCUGGCCUGAGCGUCAGUAGCAACUUCCUGAUUCUGUGGAGGAAACCUGAGAGAUUUGGUGGCUGUUUACAUUGUGCCUGCGUGCAAGACCUGACCUAUCAUUUGCUCUUUCUUUUGGGGAUUUUAAUGUGUCCAUCUUCGCUCUCUGAUUUCAUUUCCUGGGAUCCUCAUCUUCCAAAUAAAUGCUGCAUUAUCAAGCAAGUAACCCUGUGGGCAAUCAGGGCUUAAAGCCAUCCGAGAACCCUGGACACCAACACAGACCACGUGACCUGGGAUCGUCCCACCCGAGUAGUGAGGCUGCAGACCCUCAGGCCCUUCAGAUCCACAGCAGGCUCCAGGGUCAGGAAUAGCCCUUGGCUGGAGAAGGGAAGAGGUUUGCAGUCACCACAGGCACUGCAAUGGGAAGGCCUGUGGGGGCACUGACAGCAUCUGCAGCAGUGAAUUACUGGGGUCCUUAUCACUGCAGGAAACUGGGGCUAGAAGUUUCUGGAACCCUCAGAGUAGCUGCAUAGAAUGUGCUGCACAAGGCAUGGAAUAGGGGCGUAUAAUUCUACAAUAUUCCAUUACCCUUUGGCCACAUGGUAACUAGCUUGCAAUUCCCGAUCCAUACCUGAGCCAGAAUGGAGAAGUGGGCUCCCACAGGUAUUCAUGCGGCAGCAACCAAGACAUCCUGGGGCAGAAAGCAAGACUGAUGAGCAACUGAGAUGGGAUGUUAGACUACACGCGCAUAAUUCUGAAGCAACUCUGGAGCAAAAAGUUAGGCCAAGAGGGUAUGACACGGGGCCUCAAAGAUAAAUCCACACUCCAACGUUUACAUCUUUCUAAGUCCUUGGAUUCUUUCCUCUAAGUUUUAUUAAACAGGUUCUGGUACCUUGACUUCAACUUAAUAUAGGCCAACAUUGAACUUGCAUUUAAACCAACAGCUCAUUUACACCUAGCUGCUUAAGACAACGCGUUAAAUCUGAACCUUUCUAGUA